AAUAUUGCACAAUGGGGGAAACCCUAAUGCAGCAACGCCGCGUGAGCGAUGAAGGCCAUCGAGUCGUCCCGCUCUGUCCUACGGGAAGAUAAUGACGGUCCCUUAGGAGGAAGACACGGCGAACUACUAGCCAGCAGCCGCGGUAAUACGUAGGGGGCAAGCGUUAUCCGGAAUCAUUGGGCGUAAAGGGUGAGUAGGCCGCCCUAUAGGUCAGAGGUCAAAGGCUACGGCUCAACCGUAGUAAGCCUUUGAAACCGUAGGGCUUGAGUGCAGGAGAGGAGAGUGGAAUUCCUAGUGUAGCGGUGAAAUGCGUAGAUAUUAGGAGGAACACCAGUGGCGAAGGCGACUCUCUGGACUGCAACUGACGCUGAGGCACGAAAGCGUGGGUAGCGAACAG
rnacentral:rRNA from 1 species